rnacentral:rRNA from 1 species
UGGCGGACGGGUGAGUAAUGCUUGGGAAUCUGGCUUAUGGAGGGGGAUAACGACGGGAAACUGUCGCUAAUACCGCGUAUUAUCGGAAGAUGAAAGUGCGGGACUGAGAGGCCGCAUGCCAUAGGAUGAGCCCAAGUGGGAUUAGGUAGUUGGUGGGGUAAAUGCCUACCAAGCCUGCGAUCUCUAGCUGGUCUGAGAGGAUGACCAGCCACACUGGAACUGAGACACGGUCCAGACUCCUACGGGAGGCAGCAGUGGGGAAUAUUGCGCAAUGGGGGGAACCCUGACGCAGCCAUGCCGCGUGAAUGAAGAAGGCCUUCGGGUUGUAAAGUUCUUUCGGUAUUGAGGAAGGUUGAUGUGUUAAUAGCACAUCAAAUUGACGUUAAAUACAGAAGAAGCACCGGCUAACUCCGUGCCAGCAGCCGCGGUAAUACGGAGGGUGCGAGCGUUAAUCGGAAUAACUGGGCGUAAAGGGCACGCAGGCGGUUAUUUAAGUGAGGUGUGAAAGCCCUGGGCUUAACCUAGGAAUUGCAUUUCAGACUGGGUAACUAGAGUACUUUAGGGAGGGGUAGAAUUCCACGUGUAGCGGUGAAAUGCGUAGAGAUGUGGAGGAAUACCGAAGGCGAAGGCAGCCCCUUGGGAAUGUACUGACGCUCAUGUGCGAAAGCGUGGGGAGCAAACAGGAUUAGAUACCCUGGUAGUCCACGCUGUAAACGCUGUCGAUUUGGGGGUUGGGGUUUAACUCU